rnacentral:rRNA from 1 species
AGAGUUUGAUCCUGGCUCAGGACGAACGCUGGCGGCGUGCUUAACACAUGCAAGUCGAACGGUGAAGCGCUUUCCUUUUUGGUUGGUGUGGAUGAGUGGCGAACGGGUGAGUAACACGUGAGUAACCUGCCCCCUUCUUCUGGAUAACCGCAUGAAAGUGUGGCUAAUACGGGAUAUUCUGGGUCUGUCGCAUGGUGGGCCUGGGAAAGAUUGCGCCUUUUUUGGUGUUUUUGGUGGGGGAUGGGCUCGCGGCCUAUCAGCUUGUUGGUGGGGUGAUGGCCUACCAAGGCGGUGACGGGUAGCCGGCCUGAGAGGGUGGACGGUCACACUGGGACUGAGACACGGCCCAGACUCCUACGGGAGGCAGCAGUGGGGAAUAUUGCACAAUGGGCGCAAGCCUGAUGCAGCGACGCCGCGUGAGGGAUGGAGGCCUUCGGGUUGUGAACCUCUUUCGCCAGUGAAGCAGGCCUGCUCCUUGUGGGUGGGUUGACGGUAGCUGGAUAAGAAGCGCCGGCUAACUACGUGCCAGCAGCCGCGGUAAUACGUAGGGCGCGAGCGUUGUCCGGAAUUAUUGGGCGUAAAGAGCUCGUAGGCGGCUGGUCGCGUCUGUCGUGAAAUCCUCUGGCUUAACUGGGGGCUUGCGGUGGGUACGGGCCGGCUUGAGUGCGGUAGGGGAGACUGGAACUCCUGGUGUAGCGGUGGAAUGCGCAGAUAUCAGGAAGAACACCGGUGGCGAAGGCGGGUCUCUGGGCCGUUACUGACGCUGAGGAGCGAAAGCGUGGGGAGCGAACAGGAUUAGAUACCCUGGUAGUCCACGCCGUAAACGUUGGGCACUAGGUGUGGGGGGCCUUUUCCGGGUUUUCCGCGCCGUAGCUAACGCAUUAAGUGCCCCGCCUGGGGAGUACGGCCGCAAGGCUAAAACUCAAAGGAAUUGACGGGGGC